rnacentral:rRNA from 1 species
GACGUAGGAGGCGAGCGUUGUCCGGAUUCAUUGGGCGUAAAGAGCGUGUAGGCGGUCCGGUAAGUCCGCUGUGAAAGUCGGGGGCUCAACCCUCGAAUGCCGGUGGAUACUGUCGGGCUAGAGUGCGGAAGAGGCGAGUGGAAUUCCUGGUGUAGCGGUGAAAUGCGCAGAUAUCGGGAGGAACACCUAUGGCGAAGGCAGCUUGCUGGGACGGUACUGACGCUGAGACGCGAAAGCGUGGGGAGCGAACCGG